rfam:Hordeum vulgare subsp. vulgare, WGS project CAJW01000000 data, contig: morex_contig_47588
GACAUACUCCUCCGUUCAGAAAUACUUGUCAUAGGAAUGGAUGUAUCUAGAUGUAUUCUAGUUUUAGAUACAUCCAUUUUUAUCUAUUUAUGCGAUAAGUAAUUUCGGACAGAAGGGGUAUUUA